GAGAGAGACUUGCACAGUAACAAAAACUGCUAAUUUUUGGUACCUUGGUUGACUCCAGGGCUCACUCG
rnacentral:tRNA from 1 species